rnacentral:SRP_RNA from 1 species
GCUGGGCGUGGUGGCGUGCGCCCGUGGUCCCAGCUACUUGGGAGGCUGAGGCAGGAGAAUUGCUUGAACCCAGGAGGCGGAGGUUGCAGUGAGCUGAGAUCUCGCCACUGCACUCCAGCCUGGGCAACAGAGCAAUACUCUGUCUCAA